UACGGGGGGUGCGAGCGUUGUCCGGAAUCACUGGGCGUAAAGGGCGCGUAGGUGGCGUGAUAAGGGUGUGGUGAAAGCCCGGGGCUCAACCCCGGGUCUGCCAUGCCGACUGUCAGGCUAGAGUACUGUAGGGGCAGGCGGAAUUCCGGGUGUAGCGGUGGAAUGCGUAGAGAUCCGGAGGAAGACCGGUGGCGAAGGCGGCCUGCUGGGCAGUUACUGACACUGAGGCGCGACAGCGCGGGGAGCAAACAGG
rnacentral:rRNA from 1 species